AUUGAACGCUGGCGGAAGGCCUAACACAUGCAAGUCGAGCGAGCGGCGGACGGGUGAGUAAUGUAUGGGGACUGCCCGAUAGAGGGGGAUAACUACUGGAAACGGUAGCUAAUACCGCAUACUAUCGGAUAACCCAUAUGGGAUUAGCUAGUAGGUGAGGUAAUGGCUCACCUAGGCGACGAUCCCUAGCUGUUCUGAGCGGAUGAUCAGCCACACUGGGCCUGAGCAACGGCCCAGACUCCUACGGAGGCAGCAGUGGGGAAUAUUGCACAAUGGGCGCAAGCCUGAUGCAGCCAUGCCGCGGGUAUGAAGAAGGCCCUAGGUUUGUAAAGUACUUUCAGUCGUGAGGCGUGACCGACAGAAGAAGCACCGGCUAACUCCGUGCCAGCAGCCGCGGUAAUAC
rnacentral:rRNA from 1 species